UGCGUAGGCGGCGCGGUAAGUUGGGUGUGAAAUACCUCGGCUCAACCGAGGAAUUGCGCUCAAGACUGCCGUGCUCGAGGGAGACAGAGGUAAGCGGAACUUAGGGUGGAGCGGUGAAAUGCGUUGAUAUCCUAAGGAACACCGGUGGCGAAAGCGGCUUACUGGGUCUCUUCUGACGCUGAGGCACGAAAGCUAGGGGAGCGAACG
rnacentral:rRNA from 1 species